GAUGAACGCUGGCGGCGUGCCUAAUACAUGCAAGUCGAGCGAAUGGAUUAAGAGCUUGCUCUUAUGAAGUUAGCGGCGGACGGGUGAGUAACACGUGGGUAACCUGCCCAUAAGACUGGGAUAACUCCGGGAAACCGGGGCUAAUACCGGAUAACAUUUUGAACCGAAUGGUUCGAAAUUGAAAGGCGGCUUCGGCUGUCACUUAUGGAUGGACCCGCGUAGCAUUAGCUAGUUGGUGAGGUAAUGGCUCACCAAGGCAACGAUGAGUAGCCGGCCGGAGAGGGUGAUCGGCCACACGGGGACUGAGACACGGCCCAGACUCCUACGGGAGGCAGCAGUAGGGAAUCUUCCGCAAUGGACGAAAGUCUGACGGAGCAACGCCGCGUGAGUGAUGAAGGCUUUCGGGUCGUAAAACUCUGUUGUUAAGGAAGAACAAGUGCUAGUUGAAUAAGCUGGCACCUUGACGGUACCUUACCAGAAAGCCACGGCUAACUACGUGCCAGCCGCCGCCGUAA
rnacentral:rRNA from 1 species